GACGAACGCUGGCGGCGUGCUUAACACAUGCAAGUCGAACGGUGACCUCGAGAGCUUGCUCUCGAGUGAUCAGUGGCGAACGGGUGAGUAACACGUGAGUAACCUGCCCCAGACUCUGGAAUAAACCCGGGAAACCGGAGCUAAUACCGGAUACGAGACGGAGUCGCAUGGCUCCCGUCUGGAAAGGUUUUCGGUCUGGGAUGGACUCGCGGCCUAUCAGCUUGUUGGUGAGGUAACGGCUCACCAAGGCGACGACGGGUAGCCGGCCUGAGAGGGCGACCGGCCACACUGGGACUGAGACACGGCCCAGACUCCUACGGGAGGCAGCAGUGGGGAAUAUUGCACAAUGGGCGAAAGCCUGAUGCAGCGACGCCGCGUGAGGGAUGACGGCCUUCGGGUUGUAAACCUCUUUCAGCAGGGAAGAAGCGAAAGUGACGGUACCUGCAGAAGAAGCACCGGCUAACUACGUGCCAGCCGCCGCGGUAAAAC
rnacentral:rRNA from 1 species